rnacentral:rRNA from 1 species
GACGAACGCUGGCGGCGUGCUUAACACAUGCAAGUCGAACGAAGUGGCGCACGGGUGAGUAACGCGUAAACAACCUGCCCUUCAGAGGGGGACAACAGUUGGAAACGACUGCUAAUACCGCAUACUGAAGGAGGGGAUUGCGUUUGAUUAGCUAGUGUGGGGGGUAACGGCCUACCAAGGCGAUGAUCAGUAGCCGGUCUGAGGGGAUGAACGGCCAAAUUUGUACGGAGAAACGGCCCAGACUCCUACGGGAGGCAGCAGUGGGGAAUCAUCCGCAAUGGACGAAAGUCUGACGGAGCAACGCCGCGUGAGUGAUGACGGCCUUCGGGUUGUAAAGCUCUGUUAAUCGGGACGCGGUACCGGAAUAGAAAGCCACGGCUAACUACGUGCCAGCCGCCGCGGUAAUUC